rnacentral:rRNA from 1 species
GACGAACGCUGGCGGCGCGCUUAACACAUGCAAGUCGAGCGAAGCGGCGGACGGGUGAGUAACACGUGAGUAACCUGCCUUAGACAUUGGGAUAGCCUCGGGAAACCGGGAUUAAUACCAAAUGGUCUAAGAUGGACUCGCGUCCCAUGAGCUAGUUGGUGAGGUAACGGCCCACCAAGGCGACGAUGGGUAGCCGGCCUGCGAGGUGGAACGGCCACAUUGGAACUGCGAAACGGCCCAAACGGUACGGGAGGCAGCGGUGGGGAAUAUUGCACAAUGGAGGGAACUGUGAUGCAGCGACGCCGCGGGCGGGAGGACGGCCUUCGGGUUGUAAACCGCGUUCAGCCAUGACGCGGUAGUGACAGAAGAAGCACCGGCUAACUACGUGCCAGCAGCCGCGGUAAUUC